CCCUAAAAUUACCAAUAGAACGUAAAAAUUGCACUCGUGCAGCACGGGUGUUGCCAAUCGAAAACGCUAUUAAACGAGAAAGAAAGCACGGUUUUGACGUUAGUUCAAAAUGACAACGUACACCUAGAACUAUACACAGAACAGUAAUAUUGUUCUAUGGAACUAUAUAAGGCAACAAGGGAAGCAGGUUCAUCAACAUCGUCUGUUAUGAUUACUAAACUAACUGUACCAGAUGUGCUAAACAGAAUAAAAAACGUUAUGAAAGAAAAAUGGCAAAAUCAGUGGUCUACAGUGGAAACACAGUUGAAAAUAAUACAACCUGACCUUUUUUGUGGGUAUAGUAAGAGUGAAAACCUGAAACGCAAAGAUCAAGUUAUAAUAACACGGUUACGUAUUGGCCACACGAAACUAACACACAGUCAGCUCCCACGAGGACAAACACAUAGACGUGCUCAAUGUGGAGCGGAAAUAACUGUUAAGCAUGUUAUAUUCGGAGCUUAGGCUGCUGAAAUUAUAAUAAAGGUUGACGUCCGGUAGUGGCGCAUGUACCUAACUUGUACAUUAUGUUACAUCUCCCUUUCAACAAGAUAACUUCGAUUACAAAUUUAAACUAAUGCUAAUUUACUUAACCUAUACAUAAUCCUUAUAUCUAAUAGGCAUUUUGAUUUCUCUUUUUAAUCGUUUUGUACUUGGUUCCGAGUUUACCUCACGAUUUUUGCAUUUAUCACUUCCACCAUCACUAUUGUCACCUUCACUUUGAUUUUCCACCUUACCAUCUACAGCUACACUAUUUUCUACCUUAUCAUCUACGCUAUUUUCUACCUUAUCACUACCCUGCUCUGUACUGUUUGUCUCAUCUAUGUCAAUGUUACUAUCAAUAGUUGACCUUCGAUUUGUUAUUGAAGCUGUGCCCGCUUUUUUCAAAAACCAUGAAUUUCGUUUUAGUACUGACCCUUUUUCAUCGCACACUACAUAUGACCUGGGAGUGCUACCUUUACUAAUAAUUUUUCCAGUUCUCCAAUUUGAAUUUUGAUCAUUCUUUAUAUAGACAUGCUCAUUGUUUUUAAACUCGGGACGAGCUUUUGCAUUCCGAUCAUAGUACAACUUUGCUUUCUUUUGUCUUUGCUUUACUGCCUCUGUAUUUAUGUUAACUACUUUAGGUUUUAAUUGAG